rnacentral:lncRNA from 1 species
GACGGAGCCCGGGUUCUUGAUGUCCUGCCACCGCCGGAUCUCGACGUAGUGGAAGAGGAUGAACUCGAUGACGAAGAGCGUGGAGGAGGAGGCGAAGUAGGUCUCCUUGCCGGCGUCGUACCACUCGGGCGCGUUCAGCAGCCCCGCCUUGGUCAGCACCUCCGGGAUCAGCAUCCCCGCCACCCCCAGCAUCGCCCACCGCCCGUUCACCAGCUCCGCCUGCACGAACCACCGCAGGUCCUCCGGGUCCUCCGCCAGCGCCAGCGGGUCAAAACCAUUGUCACCCGCCAGACUGCACACGUAUCGUCCGUCAGUACGGUCGUAAACAUAUGUAACAGCUGCGUGCAUGGGCACGACGGAAGUGGUGUGGCGUGUCGUGUGGUCUGCUCACCUGCCGUCGAGGUAGGCAGGGGACUGGAGGCCGGGGAGCCAGGACCCCUUGGCCUGGACGGCGACGUCGCGGCGGGUGGACUUGGCGAGCCCGACGCGGCCGGAGUCGCCCAGGAACCGGGGGCUCGACGCUGACGCCGCCGGCCGGAGAGCGGCCACGGGAGCGCGGGCACUGACCGACGACAUCUUCUGCUACUCCUGACUAGAGAGCGCGUACGGCAGGAGAGUGAGAGUGCGCGCGUGUGUGUGUGGUGGUUCUGCCUCUCCGCACCUGCGCUUGGCCCUUUGUAUUGGGCUGCGCUUCGGUGAUUUGUGGGUGUGGUGAGCUGGGCCCCGGAGGUCGAGAUGGACGGCGUGUGUUGGCGCCACCGCGUCGUCCGACGGCUGCGAUGCGUUUGCGCCUGGAGACUGGAUAGAUGGACCAGUGGGAGACCGGGAGGCGUAUGUGCGUUAUCUGGAUGAUGGAUAAUGCGGAAUCAAAAGGGGGAUCGCUAUUGGUCGGGGAAACGCACGUUCGGUUUACCUGGCUGCCACGUCGAUCGGACGAUCCGUCAUGAUGUACAGCUGUACAUGGUGCCAUGGCGGGUUGGUCUGUUUGCUUCAACUUUCGAGCUCUUCCACGGGAAACCGGCUUUCGCCCUAGAAAUGGCACGGAUGGUCGAACGGAUACAAGGUGAUGGAAAGAACCCCAUAGAAGGCGGUCGCGGCGAGCCGUCACGAUCCCGUAAUCGAACAAGAAAAUAAGAGUCGCCACACCUAACAUGAGGCGACCUAGACUAUUGAAUCGGAACUCAACCGUGCCGCCUAGGAAAAUCAUAGACCAUUAUGCAUAAAACACAUCAAGUUAUCGCCGGAGAAAGUAAGUGUCGAUCCAAUCCGUGGAGUUCCAAUCCUGCGAGCAGAUAGCGAGGACCAAUGACAUUGACUACGAGGACACGUGUAAAUGAUAGGGGAUCAACGGAUCCACUCCACGACGAAGCCGAAGGCACCGAUGUGCUGUAACUGGAUGAUAUUUGUGUUCCCCGACAAUGCCCCGAGGAGGGUAAUGAUGUAGAGCGUUGAUACGUCUCCAACGUAUUUAUGGUGUUUUUAUUGUGUCAUGCUAUUAUAUUAUCAAUUUCGGAUGCUUUAUAUGCUAUUUUAUAUCAUUUUUAAGAACUAACCUAUUAACCGAGUGUCCAGUGUCAGUUCCUAUUUUUUGCGUGUUUUGACUUCUCAGAAAAUCAAUAACAAACGAAGUUCAAACAUGAUGAAACUUUAUGAUGAUUCUUUCUGGACCAAAAAGGGACCCCUAGAAGGUUCGGGAGGAGGCCAGAAGACGUAGGGAGAGCCACAAGCUCACAGGGUGCGCCCCCCCCCCCCCGGGGGNNNNNNNNNNNNNNNNNNNNNNNNNNNNNNNNNNNNNNNNNNNNNNNNNNNNNNNNNNNNNNNNNNNNNNNNNNNNNNNNNNNNNNNNNNNNNNNNNNNNGACGUCUAACUUGUUUUUGCAGGGUAUGAUUGUGAUGUGAUAUGGCCAAUGAUGUGAUGUGAUAUAUUGGAUGUAUGAGAUGAUCAUGUUGUAAUAGAAAUAUCGACUUGCACGUCGAUGGUACGGCAACCGGCAGGAGCCAUAGGGUUGUCUUUAUACUAACGUUUGUGCUUGCAGAUGCGUUUACUAUUUUGCUAGGAUGUAGCUUUAGUAGUAAUAGCAUAAGUAGCACGACAACCCCGAUGUCAACAUGUUGAUGGAUGAUCAUGGUGUGGCGCCGGUGACAAGAAGAUCGUGCCGGUGCUUUGGUGAUGGAGAUCAAGNNNNNNNNNNCUUGCAGAUGCGUUUACUAUAUUGCUAGGACGUAGCUUUAGUAGUAAUAGCAUGCGUAGCACGACAACCCCGAUGGCGACACGUUGAUGGAGAUCAUGAUGAUGGAGAUCAUGGUGUGACGCCGGUGACAAGAAGAUCGUGCCGGUGCUUUGGUGAUGGAGAUCAAGAAGCACGUGAUGAUGGCCAUAUCAUGUCACUUAUGAAUUGCAUGUGAUGUUAAUCCUUUUUGCACCUUAUCUUUCUUAGAACGACGGUAGCAUUAUGAGGUGAUCUCUCACUAAAAUUUCAAGACGAAAUUGUGUUCUCCCCGACUGUGCACCGUUGCGACAGUUCUUCGUUUCGAGACACCAGGUGAUGAUCGGGUGUGAUAGACUCAACGUUCACAUACAACGGGUGCAANNNNNNNNNNUGAAAUUGUGUUCUCCCCGACUGUGCACCGUUGCUACAGUUCGUCAUUUCGAGACACCACGUGAUGAUCGGUGUGAUAGACUCAACGUUCACAUACGACGGGUGCAAAACAGUUGCGCACGCGGAACACUCGGGUUAAGCUUGACGAGCCUAGCAUGUGCAGACAUGGCCUCGGAACACAUGAGACCGAAAGGUCGAUCAUGAAUCAUAUAGAUGAUGUGAUUAGCAUAGGGAUGCUUACCACUGAAACUAUACUCAACUCACGUGAUGAUCGGACUUGAGAUAGUGUAGGUGGAUCAUGAACCACUCAAAUGACUAGAGAGAUGUAAUUUUUGAGUGGGAGUUUAGCAGAUAAUUUGAUUAAGUUGAACUCUAAUUAUCUUCAACAUAGUCUAAGUCCACUUUGAAUAUAUUUGUGUUGUAGAUCAUGGCUGACGCAAGUGUCAUCCUGAAUUUUAAUACGUUCCUAGAGAAAGCUAAGUUGAAAGAUGAUGGAAGCAACUUUGUAGACUGGGCUCGUAAUCUUAAGCUAAUCUUACAAGCUGGGAAGAAGGAUUAUGUCCUUGAUGCUGCGCUAGGAGAUGAACCACCCGCUACGGCUGAUCAGGAUGUUAAGAACGCUUGGUUAGCGCGUAAGGAGGACUACUCAAUAGUUCAAUGUGCAGUCUUGUAUGGCUUAGAACCGGGACUUCAACGUCGCUUUGAGCGUCAUGGAGCAUUUGAGAUGUUCCAGGUGUUGAAGUUUAUCUUUCAGAAGAACGCCUGGAUCGAGAGGUAUGAGACCUCCGAUAAAUUCUAUGCUUGCAAGAUGGAGGAAAACUCGUCUGUCAGUGAACAUGUGCUCAAAAUGUCUGGGUACUCAAACCGUCUAGCUGAGCAGGGGAUUGAACUCCCGCAAGAGGCUAUCACUGACAGAAUCCUUCAAUCACUGCCACCAAGCUACAAAGGCUUUGUGUUGAACUACAACAUGCAAGGGAUGAACAAGUCACCCGGCGAGUUGUUUGCGAUGUUGAAAGUCGCAGAGUCUGAACUCCGUAAAGAGCAUCAAGUGUUGAUGGUGAAUAAGACCACUAGUUUCAAGAGAAACGGCAAAGGCAAGAAGGGUAAUUCAAAGAAGAGACUUGCCGGUAAACGAGAUUGAAAUAGGUAUGCGGAUACUGACGAUCGAAUCUCGGGCAAGUAACAUACCGAAGGACAAAGGGAAUGACAUACGGGAUUAUANNNNNNNNNNNNNNNNNNNNNNNNNNNNNNNNNNNNNNNNNNNNNNNNNNNNNNNNNNNNNNNNNNNNNNNNNNNNNNNNNNNNNNNNNNNNNNNNNNNNUGUGUGUGUGUGUGUGUGCACACUUGUGAUAGUGCAAGUGAUGUGUGUAUGUGUUUAUGUGGCUUAGUUGAAAAGUGGCUCAUGUGAUCUUGCUAGUGUGUUUGGGUGUGUAGUACUUGCAAAGUAUGUGCAUUGUGGAAUAGGUGAGAUGUGUGUGUUGAGGUGAUGUGUGUGUAAGUAGUGCACACAUAUGUGGUACCUAGCAGGAGUGUAUGUAUGUGUGGAUCCAUGUUUACUUGCAUAGCAGUUGUUCCUUCAUGUUGUGCUUGAGAUUAAGUGCUUGUGAUGAGGGUAUUGUGAUGAUAUGUGUGUGGUGAUAACAGCCCCAUUUUCAACACUUGUGCACCUCCUCAUGUUCAUAUGAGAGAGGACAUGAUGUGUGUGUGUGUGAGGGUGAUCUAGUGAAAGUUGUGCUAGUGGUGUUGANNNNNNNNNNGCAACACUUGUGCACCUCCUCAUGUUGAUAUGAGAGAGGGCAUGAUGUGUGUGUGUGAGGGUGAUCUAGUGAAAGUUGUGCUAGUGGUGUUGAUAUGCAUAACACAUACAUGGGGUUCAAACCCCCAUGUCACUUUUUCAUUGUGCACAUGAGCUCAACCUUUGUAGUUGUUGACUUAGUAGGAACUACAUGAAAUGAUGCCCAUUCCCUAGGCAUGAUUUGGAGUAGUUUCCUCUCCCUUAUUUUGUGGUCACUUGUUCCAAGUAAGUGCCCACAUAUUAUAUAUGAUUUUGGGGUAGAAUCUCCCAAGGAAUCCAGUGGUGAAGUUAGUUUUUCCAUUACGAUACUUUAUGGAGUUGACAUAUUCAGAUUUGUUGCAAGUUUGAUCUUUGAUUCCAUGGAAUAGGUGGAGCCCAAGGGCANNNNNNNNNNGCCAUUAGGAUAAUUUCUGGAGUUGACAUAUUCAGAUUUAUUGCAAGUUUGAUCUUUGAUUCCAUGGAAUAGGUGGAGCCCAAGGGCAUGAGUUUUUGUGUGAUAGUAGUAGGGUUUUGCUCUACACCAUAGUGGUGUCAUAUAUCACUUGGUGUUACUUGUGUGCAAACUAUGCCUAGACAAAGUGGGCAUGUGGUUGAAAAUUCCAGUUUAGUGAAAUCUGGAAUUUCACUAAGUCUGGGAUUCUGGAAACAUUUUCUUCUCUUAUAGAUGAGGAUGUGCUGGUCAUUGUGUUGAGAUCUAGCCUUAGUUCAGUGCUAGGAUUUUGGACCUGAUAUGUUUUUUAAGUUCCCUGUCAAAUUUCAAAUCAUUUGGAGUCUAGUAGGUUGUGUUUUGAUUGCUGUCAAAAAGCUUCAGAACAAAGACAGNNNNNNNNNNAUAGCCUUAGUUCAGUGCUAGGAUUUUGGACCUGAUAUGUUUGUGAUGCUUCCUGUCAAAUUUCAAAUCAUUUCGAGUCCAGUAGGUUGUGUUUUGAUUGCUGUCAAAAAGCUUCAGAACAAAGACAGAAAUUCAGGUGCAGGAAUUUUCACCAAGUCCCUGAGAUCUGAUGGUUUUGGGGAAGUUUGUGGCCUUGUAUAUUAAUUCCUUUUGCUGUGAUUCUUGCUGGUGCUUGUAGGGUUCUUAGUGGGCUACAGCCACAUAUAUUAUUUGACAUAUUUGGUGGCCUGUAGCUAUGUUGCAUGUAGCUCACAAAGUGCUAAGAUGCAGUUUAUGGCAGAUUAUGUAGUUUUGUCAUUUCUAUGAUUGUGUGUGCUUAGUGGAUGUGGUGGUGCUCUUACUUGCUCCAAUCCAUUCAUGUGGGAGUGGUACAUGUCUUGGCAACCUGNNNNNNNNNNUAUGCAGUUUAUGGCAGAUUAUGUAGUUUUGUCAUUUUGAUGAUUGUGUGUGCUUAGUGGAUGUGGUGGUGCUCUUCCUUGCUCCAAUCCAUUCAUGUGGGAGUGGUACAUGUCUUGGCAACCUGGGAAUACCAGAUUUGUGCCAAUUGUGAGUGUGGUGUUGAUUCUUACACGUAGAGCUUCAUAUCUUGUUUCGUUGAUUCCCGUUGAACCGUAGCUCCGUUCGCAAUGUUCUUUAUAUGUUUUUGCAUAGUUUUCACGAGACGCAUCUCUUCAUGCCAUUCUCAUGCAUGUAAAAAUAUCCUAGUUUACAGUUCUGUCCAGAAACUUAUAGUAGUUCUUUUGCUUGUGCUAGUGAUAGAAAUAGUGAUGCAUGCUCAUUUUUCANNNNNNNNNNACAAUGUUCUUUAUAUGUUUUUGCAUCGUUUUCACGAGACGCAUCUCUUCAUGCCAUUCUCAUGCAUGUCGAAAUAGCCUAGUGUAAAGUUCUGUCCAGAAACUUAUAGUAGUUCCUUUUGCUUGUGCUAGUGAUAGAAAUAGUGAUGCAUGCUCAUUUUUCAUCUCAUGCAUCAUGUGAUUGUUGCAUCUUGUNNNNNNNNNNNNNNNNNNNNNNNNNNNNNNNNNNNNNNNNNNNNNNNNNNNNNNNNNNNNNNNNNNNNNNNNNNNNNNNNNNNNNNNNNNNNNNNNNNNNGAACAACAUUCGGUAACCAACCAUAUAACUCAAAUACGCAUAAAACAAUGUCGAACCUUAAGUGUGCAGACCCUACGGGUUCAGGAACUAUGUAGACAUCACCCGAGAGACUCCUCGGUCAAUAUCCAAUAGCGGGACCUGGAUGCCCAUAUUGGAUCCUACAUAUUCUACGAAGAUUUUAUCGUUUGAACAUCAGUGCCAAGGAUUCAUAUAAUCCCGUAUGUCAUUCCCUUUGUCCUUCGGUAUGUUACUUGCCCGAGAUUCGAUCAUCAGUAUCCGCAUACCUAUUUCAAUCUCAUUUGCCGGCAAGUCUCUUUACUCGUUCCGUAAUACAAGAUCCGCAACUUACACUAAGUCACAUUACUUGCAAGGCUUGUGUAUGAUGUUGUAUUACCGAGUGGGCCCCGAGAUACCUCUCCGUCACACGGAGUGACAAAUCCCAGUCUCGAUCCAUACUAACUCAACUAACACCUUCGGAGAUACCUGUAGAGCAUCUUUAUAGUCACCCAGUUACNNNNNNNNNNNNNNNNNNNNNNNNNNNNNNNNNNNNNNNNNNNNNNNNNNNNNNNNNNNNNNNNNNNNNNNNNNNNNNNNNNNNNNNNNNNNNNNNNNNNGUAGACCGAUAAUUUCUGCAUCUACUACUAUUACUCCACACGUCGACCGCUAUCCAGCAUGCAUCUAGUGUUUUGAGUUCAUGACGAACAGAGUAACGCCUUAAGAAAGAUGACAUGAUGUAGAGGGAUAAUCUCAAACCAAUGAUGAAAACCCCAUCUUUUUACCCUUGAUGGCAACAACACGAUACGUGCCUCGCUACCCCUUCUAUCACUUGGUGAGGUCACCGCACGGUAUGAACCCAAAACCAAGCAAUUCUCCCAUUGCAAGAAUCAUAGAUCUAGUUGGCCAAACAAAACCCACAACUCGAAGUGAAUUACAAGGAUAUGCAAUCAUGCAUAAGAGAGAUCAGAAGAAACUCAAAUAAGAUUCAUAGAUAAUCUGAUCAUAAAUCCACAAUUCAUCGGAUCUCGACAAACACACCGCAAAAGAAGAUUACAUCGGAUAGAUCUCCAUGAAGAUCAUGGAGAACUUUGUAUUGAAGAUCCAAGAGAGAGAAGAAGCCAUCUAGCUACUAGCUAUGGACCCGUAGGUCUGUGGUGAACUACUCACGCAUCAUCGGAGAGGUCAUGGUGUUGAUGAAGAAGCCCUCCGUAUCCGAAUCCCCCCUCGGUAGGGCACCAGAAUGUGCCCCAGAUGGGAUCUUGCGGAGACAGAAGCUUGCGGCGGCGGAAAAGUACUUUUGAUGAUCUCCUGAUUUUUUCUGGGAUUUUAGGUAAUUUAUAGGCGAAAGACCUAGGGAAGAGGUGGCCCAGGGAGCCCACAAGCCUGGGAGGCGCGGGCCCCCCUGGCCGCGGCUAGGGGGCUUGUGGGGUCCCUGCUGCCCCCCUGCCCAGAUUCUCAGGCUUCUUGAUCUUCUUAUAUUUCGGAAAAAAUCUUUUUGGCAGUUUCGUUCCGUUUGGACUCCGUUUAAAAUCCUCCUCUGAAAAGGGUCAAAAACAUGGAAAAAACAGGAACUGGCACUUGUCACUGAGUUAAUAAGUUAGUCCCAAAAAAUAUAUAAAAGGCAUACAAAACAUCCAAAGUUUGACAAGAUAAUAGCAUGAAACCAUCAAAAAUUAUAGAUACGUUGGAGAUGUAUUAACCUACGAGGUUUGUAGUAACUUGAUCCGAAGCUCUAAUGAUCACUAUCAUCAGCUUCCACUUCAAUUGGUGUAGGCGUCACAGGAACAACUUCCUGCGCCCUGCUACACACUGGUUGAAGUGACGGUUCAAUAACCUCAUCAAGUUCCACCAGUCUCCCACCCAAUUCUUUGGAGAGAAACCUUUCCUCGAGAAAGGAUCCGUUUCUAGAAACAAACACUUUGCUUCCGGAUCUGAGAUAGGAGAUGUAUCCAACUGUUUUGGAUAUCCUAUGAAGAUGCAUUUAUCCGCUUUGGGAUCGAGCUUAUUAGACUGAAACCUUUUCACAUAAGCAUCGCAACCCCAAACUUUCAAGAAACGACAGCUUAGGUUUCUCUAAACCAUAGUCUAUGGCGUGUCAUCUCAACGGAAGUAUGCGGUGCCCUAUUUAAAGUGAAUGUGGUUGUCUCUAAUGCAUAACCCAUAAACGAUAGUGGUAAUUCGAUAAGAGACAUCAUAGUAUGCACCAUAUCAUAAUAGGGUGUGGCUAUGACGUUCACACACAUCAUCACACUAUGGUGUUCCAGGUGGCAUGAACUGCGAAACAAUUUUCACAUUGUCUUAACUGCGUACCAAAAACUCGCAACUCAGAUAUUCAUCUCUAUGAUCAUAUCGUAGACAGUUUAUCCACUUGUCACAACGAUCUUCACUCUGAAAUAGCUUUGAACUUUUCAAUAUUUCAGACUUGUGAUUCAUCAAGUAAAUACUCGUGUAUCUACUCAAAUCGUCAGUGAAGUAAGAACAUAACGAUAUCCACUGCGUGCCUCAGCACUCAUUGGACUGCACACAUCAAAAAUGUAUUACUCCCAACAAGUUACUCUCUUGUUUCAUGUAGCAUGAUCUGCAUGUCUCAAGUGAUUCAAAAUCAAGUGAGCCCAAACGGUCCAUCCGCAUGGAGUUUCUUCAUGCGUUUAUACCAACAAGUAUGGUUUGCAUGUUUCAAUCGUUUCAAAAAAUGAGUGAGUACAAAGAUCCAUCAGCAUGGAGCUUCUUCAUGCAUUUUAUACCAACAUGACUCAAGUGGCAGUGCUACAACUAAGUGGUACUAUCAUUAUAACUUUGUAUCUUUUGGCACCAAUAUUAUGAACAUGUGUAACACUAUGAUCGAGAUUCAAUAAACCAUUGAGGGUAAUUAUUCAAGCAAAUAGAAUAACUAUUAUUCUCUUUAAUUGAAUAAUUGUAUUGCAAUGAACACGAUCCAAUCAUGUUCAUGAUUAACGCAAUCACCAAAUAACAAUUAUUUAAGUUUUACCACCAAUCUGGAUGAUAGAGGGAGCGUGCGAUGUUUGAUCACAUCAACCUUGGAAACACUUCCAACACGUAUUGUCACCUCGCCUUUAGCUAGUCUCCGUUUAUACCGUAGCUUUCAUUUCGAGUUACUAAUCACUUAGCAACCGAACCGGUAUCGAAUACCCUCGUGCUACUAGGAGUAAAGUACACAUCAAUAUCAUGCAUAUCAAAUAUACUUCUGUCGACUUUGCCAGCCUUCUUAUCUACCAAGUAUCUAGGGUAGCUCCGCCUCACUGACCGUUCCCCUCAUAACAGAAGCACUCAGUCUCGGGUUUGGGUUCAAUUUUGGGUUUCUUCAUUAGAGCAGCAACUUGUUUGCCGUUUCAUGAAGUAUCCCUUCAAGCCCUUACCCUUCUUGAAACUAGUGGUUUUACUAAGCAUCAACAAUUGAUGCUCCUUCUUGAUUUCUACUUUCACAGUGUCAAACAUUGCAAAUCACUCAAGGAUCAUCAUAUCUAUCCUUGAUUUGUUUAUAGUUCAUCACGAAGCUCUAGCAGCUUAGUCGCAGUGACUUUGGAGAACCAUCACUAUCUCAUCUGGAAGAUUAACUCCCACUUGAUUCAAGCGAUUGUUGUACUGAGACAAUCUGAGAACAUGCUCAACGAUUUGAGCUUUUCUCCUUUACUUUGUAGGCAAAGAAUCUUGUCGGAGGUCUUAUAUCUCUCAACAAGGGCACGAGCAUGAAAUCUCAAUUUCAUCUCUUUGAACAUCUCUUAUGUUCUGCGAUGUUUUCAAAACGUCUUCAGUGCCUUGCUUCUAAGCCAUUAAGUAUUGCGCACUGAACUAUUAUGUAGUCAUCAAAGACGUGUAUGUCAGAUGUUUGCAGCAUCCACAAACAACACCUGAGGUGCAGCACACCAAGUGGUGCAUUAAGGACAUAAGACUUCUGCGCAACAAUGAGGACAAUACUCAGUUUUACGGACUGAGUCCGCAAAGUUGCUACUAUCAACUUUGAACUAAAUUUUCUCUAGGAACAUAUAAAAACAGUAGAGCUAUAGCGCAAGCUACAUCGUAAUUUGCAAAUACCAUUGGACUAUGUUCAUGAUAAUUAGUUCAAUUAAUCAUAUUACUUAAGAACUCCCACUCAAAAAGUACAUCUCUCUAGUCAUUUGAGUGGUACAUGAUCCGAAUCCACUAUCUCAAGUCCGAUCAUCACGUGAGUCGAGAAUAGUUUCAGUGGCAAGCAUCUCUAUGCUAAUCAUAUCAACUAUACGAUUCAUGCUCGACCUUUCGGUCUCUUGUGUUCCGGGGCCAUGUCUGCACAUGCUAGGCUCGUCAAGUUUUACCCGAGUGUUCCGCGUGUGCAACUGUUUUGCACCCGUUGUAUGUGAACGUUGAGUCUAUCACACCCGAUCAUCACGUGGUGUCUCGAAUCAACAAACUGUAGCAACGGUGCAGAGUCGGGGAGAACACAAUUUCGUCUUGAAAUUUUAGUGAGAGAUCACCACAUAAUGCUAUCGUCGUUCUAAGCAAAAUAAGGUGCAUAAAAGGAUUAACAUCACAUGCAAUUCAUAAGUGAAUGAUAUGGCCAUCAUCACGUGCUUCUUUAUCUCCAUCACCAAAGCAUCGACAUGAUCUUCUUGUCACCGGUGCCACACCAUGAUCUCCAUCAACGUGUCGCCAUCGGGGUUGUCGUGCUACUUAUGCUAUUACUACUAAAGCUACGUCCUAGCAAUAUACUAAACGCAUCUGCAAACACAAACGUUAGUUUAAAGACAACCCUAUGGCUCCUGCGGGUUGCCGUACCAUCGACGUGCAAGUCGAUAUUAACUAUUACAACAUGAUCAUCUCAUACAUCCAAUAUAUCACAUCACGUCAUUGGCCAUAUCAUAUCACAAGCAUAUCCUUCGAAAACAAGUUAGACGUCCUCUAAUUGUUGUUGAAUGUUUUACGUGGUUUCAAUGGGUAUCUAGUAGAUCGCAUCUUACUUACGCAAAAACCACAACGCAGAUGUGCAAAUUGCUAUUUAUCCUCUCCAGGGACCGCCUCGGUCAAAACCAAUUCAACUAAAGUUGAAGAAACCGACACCCGCCAGUCAUCUUUAUGCAACGAGGUUGCAUGUCAAUCGAUGAAACUAGUCUUUUGUAAGCAUACGAAUAAUGUCGGUCCGGGCCGCUUCAAUCCAAAAAUACCGCCAAAUUGAGAAAAGACUCAGGAGGGCAGCAAAUCGAACAUCACCGUCCAGAAAACCCUUUGUGUUCUACUCGAGAUUACAUCUACGCAUGAACCUAGCUCAUGAUGCCUAUGUUGGGGAACGUCGCAUGGGAAACAAAAAAUUUCCUACGCGCACGAAGACCUACCGUGGUGAUGUCCAUCUACGAGAGGAGAUUUGGAUCUACGUACCCUUAAAGAUCGCACAGCAGGAAGCGUUAAGAAACGCGGUUGAUGUAGUGGAACGUCCUCACGUCCCUCGAUCCGCCCCNNNNNNNNNNUCCGUCCCACGAUCCGCUCCGAUCUAGUGCCGAACGGACGGCACCUCCAUGUUCAGCACACGUACAGCUCGACGAUGAUCUCGGCCUUCUUGAUCCAGAAAGUAAGACGAAGAAGUAGAUGAGUUCUCCGGCAGCGUGAAGGCGCUUCGGUGGUGGUUGCUACGACAACAAAAGUUCUUCCCCGGCAAUGGCGCCAGAAAUCCUUCUUGCUACUUCUCAAACAACAACGCCAAAAUUGACACGUUGACGGAGACUUGCUUGCGUCGGUUUUUGCCUUGAAGAGGAAAGGGUGAUGCAGCACAGGAGCAGUAAGUAUUUCCCUCAGUUUGAGAACCAAGGUAUCAAUCCAGUAGGAGAAUCUCGUCAAGUCCAGAGUACCUCCACAAACAUAAAGAUCUUGCACCCAAUGCUAUAAAGGGGUUGUCAAUCCCUUCAAGAUUGAUUGCAAAGUGAGAUUUGAAGGCGGAAAGUGCAACGAAGUAAAAUUGUAAGGCUAAAAAUAUGGUGUGGAGUAGACCCCGGGGCCAUAGUGUUCACUAGAGGCUUCUCUCAAAAUAGCAAAUAUUACAGUGGGUGAACAAAUUACUGUCGAGAAAUUGAUAGAACCGCGCAAAGUCAUGACGAUAUCUAAGGCAAUGAUCAUACAUAUAGGCAUCACGUCCGAGACAACUAGACCGAUACUUUCUGCAUCUACUACUAUUACUCCACACAUCGACCGCUAUCCAGCAUGCAUCUAGUGUAUUGAGUUCAUGACGAACAGAGUAACGCCUUAAGCAAGAUGACAUGAUGUAGAGGGAUAAUCUCAAACCAAUGAUGAGAACCCCAUCUUUUUACCCUCGAUGGCAACAACACGAUGCGUGCCUCGCUACCCCUUCUGUCACUGGGUGAGGUCACCACACGGUAUGAACCCAAAACCAAGCACUUCUCCCAUUGCAAGAAUCAUCGAUCUAGUUGGCCAAACAAAACCCACAACUCGAAGAGAAUUACAAGGAUAUGAAAUCAUGCAUAAGAGAGAUCGGAAGAAACUCAAAUAAGACUCAUAGAUAAUCUGAUCAUAAAUCCACAAUUGAUCGAAUGUCGACAAACACACCGCAAAAGAAGAUUACAUCGGAUAGAUCUCCAUGANNNNNNNNNNNNNNNNNNNNNNNNNNNNNNNNNNNNNNNNNNNNNNNNNNNNNNNNNNNNNNNNNNNNNNNNNNNNNNNNNNNNNNNNNNNNNNNNNNNNNNNNNNNNNNNNNNNNNNNNNNNNNNNNNNNNNNNNNNNNNNNNNAUACUAGCUAUGGACCCGUAGGUCUAUGGUGAACUACUCACGCAUCAUCGGAGAGGUCAUGGUGUUGCUGAAGAAGCCCUCUGUAUCCGAAUCCCCCCUCCGACAGGGCACCGGAACGUGCCCCAGAUGGGAUCUUGUAGAGACAGAAGCUUGCGGCGGCGGAAAAGUACUUUCGAUGAUCUCCUGAUUUUUUUCUGGGAUUUUAGGGAAUUUAUAGGCGAAAGUCCUAGGGCAGAGCUGGCCCAAGGAGCCCACAAGCCUGGGAGGCGCGGGCCCCCUGGUCGCGGCUAGGGGGCUUGUGGGGUCCCUGCAGCCCCCCUGCCCUGAUUCUCAGGUUUCCCGAUCUUCUUCUGUUUCAGAAAAAAUCUUUUUGACAGUUUCAUUCCGUUUGGACUCCGUUUAAAAUCCUCCUUUGAAAGGGGUCAAAAACAUGGGGAAAUAGGAACUGGCACUGAGUUAAUAAGUUAGUCCCAAAAAGUAUAUAAAAGGCAUGCAAAACAUCCAAAGUUUGACAAGAUAAUAGCAUGAAACCAUAAAAAUUAUAGAUACAUUGGAUACGUAUCAAGCAUCCCCAAGCUUAACUCCUGCUCGUCCUAAAGUAGGGAAGUGAUAAAGAAUUAAAUUUUGAUGUGGAAUGCUACCUAGCAUAGUUGUCCUUUGCAACUUCUUUCAUGUGACAUGAGUGUUCAGAUCCGUGAGAUUGAAAACAAUAGUUUGCUAUUGACAUGAAAACAAUAAUACUUCAAGCAAACUAGCAAGGUAAUCAUGAACUUUAAAAAUAACAAGGCCAAGGAAAGUUAUCCCUACAAAAUUAUAUAGUCUGGCUAUGCUCCAUCAUCCUCACACAACUAAUGUAAAUCAUGCACAACCCCGGUAUUGGCCAAGAAAUAGUUUUCGCACUCUUACUUUCUCAAACUUUUUAUAACUAUCAUGCAAUACAUGAGCGUGAGCCAUGGAUAUAGCACUAUAAUUGGAAUAGAGUGUGGUGGUGGUUGUGAGACAAAAAGGAGAAGAUGGUCACAUUGACUCUGCGUAUCAAAGGGCUAUGGAGAUACCCAUUAAUAGAUAUCAAUGUGAAUGAGUAGGGAUUGCCAUACAAAGGAUGCACUAGAGCUAUAAGUAUGUGAAAGCUCAAAAGGAAAACUAGUGGGUGUGCAUCCAACUUGCUUUCUCACGAAGACCUAGGGCAAUUUUGAGGAAACCCAUCAUUGGAAUAUACAAGCCAAGUUAUAUAGUGAAGAUUCCAACUAGCAUAUGGUGGUGACGAAACGAGAGGCUCUCAAUCAUGAAGAACAUGGUGCUAUUAUGAAGCACAAGUGUGGAAAAAGAUAGUAGCAUUGUCCCUUCUCUCUUUUCUCUCUUCUUCUUUUUUAUUUGGGCUCUUAGGCCUCUUUUUCUCUUUUUUUGGGCUCUUUGGCCUCUUUUUUUAUUUUAUUUCCUCACAUGGGACAAUGCUCUAAUAAUGAUGAUCAUCACACUUUUAUUUACUCACAGCUCAAAGCUUAGAAAUGACUUCUAUAGGAAAUGCCUCCGGCAGUGUACCGGGAUGUGCAACGAUCUAGCUUGGCGUAUGACGUUGAAACAUAUCGCUAGCUAUCUUGCGAUCAUGCAAUGGAAAUAUGAGAGUGACGGCACAAGUCAUGAGACGGAACGGUGGGAGUUGCAUGUCAAUAUAUCUCGGAAUGGCUACGAAAAUGCCAUAGUAGGUAGAUAUGGUGGUUGUUUUGAGGAAGGCAUUUGGUGGGUUUGUGUACCGGCGAGAAUUGCACGGCACUAGAGAGGCUAGCAAUGGUGAAAGGUGGAAGUGCAUCUAUACCAUGGACUCACAUUAGUCAUGAAGAACUCACAUACAUGUUGCGAAAUUUUUUAUUAGUAAUCGAAACAAAGUGCUAAACGCAUACUCCUAGGGGAAGGGUUGGUAGGUGUUAACCAUCGCACGAACCCGACCUCAACACAAAGGAUGACAAUCAAUAGAUCAAUUAUGCUUCGACUUCCUAACAUAGCGGUUCACCAUACGUGCAUGCUACGGGAAUCACUAACUUUAACACAAGUAUUUCUAGAUUCACAAUACCCUACUAACAUAACUCUUAAUAUUACCAAAUCCACGCCUCCAAACUAAUUGAGAGGAAUCAAAACUUCUCUUUCUACUCAAUGCACAUGAAUAUGGAGGUUUUUGUAUCCUCUUUGGGUACCUAUCACCUUUGGGACUACUUUCAUAGCAUAAGCCAACUACCAAAUCACGCACCGCCGUGCUCUAACAGAUCUAAGUGAAGCACAUAUAGCAAAAUUGUCUAGCUGAAAAGAUAUAAGUGAAGCACAAUGAGCAUUCUAGCAAAAUCACGGUGAGUUCAUGUCUAUCUCUAAAGGUGUGCAUCAAGGAUGAUUGUGACACAACAAAAAGAAAAUAAUCCUAAGAUACAAGACACUCCAAGCAAAACACAUAUCAUGUGGUGAAUAAAAAUAUAGCUCCAAGUAAUGUUACCGAUGGAUUGAAGACGAAAGAGGGGAUGCCUUCCCGGGGCAUNNNNNNNNNNNNNNNNNNNNNNNNNNNNNNNNNNNNNNNNNNNNNNNNNNNNNNNNNNNNNNNNNNNNNNNNNNNNNNNNNNNNNNNNNNNNNNNNNNNNGGAUGCCUUUGCGGCCUGUGUUCGUUUAUGAUGGACUAGUUGGAGCACCCCUGCAGGGUUUAAUCUUUCAGAAAGCCGUGCCCACGGUUAUGUGGCAACUUGGAAUAUUUUGUUAACAUCCGGUAUUAGAGAACUUGAACAUAAGCUAAUAAAAUUGCCAACUGUGUGCGUAUCCGUGUCUGUCCCCUCGAAGAUCCCUCUUCGAUCGGGAACACGGUGGGGUUAUGAAUGCCGUAGGUAGGUGGUCAGGAUCACUUAGUGAUCAAGUAUUCCCGACCGCUAGUGUAGACCACCUUCACAAUUACUUCGCGUAAGUUAGCCACUUAAUCAAGCUUAGGAUGCUGCAGCCUUAUACACUUCACCCUUACCCUACCUAAUAACAUGACUAGUUCUGGCACCAAGGUCUUAGAUUGCUGAGUCCCCGUGGCUCACGGAUUCCUCCGAAACUCCCAGCAGGUACAGGUACCCCAGAUAUAGAUGAUCCCGACGGCACCCAGCUGGCGUGGCAGUACGACGAGGAGACAGACCGCCUCUACGUGACCUAUCCAGGGGACUGAGGCGUGGUCGUGAUCGUGGGCCUGCAGGCAGGGUAGCAUAGCAUUUCCAUGUUUUGUAGUCCGUAGCGGAACUACNNNNNNNNNNNNNNNNNNNNNNNNNNNNNNNNNNNNNNNNNNNNNNNNNNNNNNNNNNNNNNNNNNNNNNNNNNNNNNNNNNNNNNNNNNNNNNNNNNNNAAAAAAAAGAGCAGGUGGGAAAAGGGGGAAGGACUCCUCCUUCCAAACCUAAUUGGACUCGGUUUGGAAGGGGAGGGUUGCCCCCCUUGGCUCGGCCGCCCCCUUGGGAGUCCUUGGACCCCAAGGCAAGGCUCCCCCUCCUCCCCCUAUAUAUACGCAGGUUUUAGGGCUGAUUUGAGACAACUUUGCCACGACAGCCCGACCACAUAUCUCCACGGUUUCACCUCUAGAUCGCGUUUCUGCGGAGCUCGGGCGGAGCCCUGUGAGAUAAGAUCACCACCAACCUCCGUAGCUCCGUCACGCUGGCGGAGAACUCAUCUACCUCUCCAUCACUCUUGCUGGAUCNNNNNNNNNNAGUUUCACCUCUAGAUCGCGUUUCUGCGGAGCUCGGGCGGAGCCCUGCUGAGAUAAGAUCACCACCAACCUCCGGAGCGCCAUCACGCUGGCGGAGAACUCAUCUACCUCUCCAUCACUCUUGCUGGAUCAAGAAGGCCGAGAUCAUCGUCGAGCUGUACGUGUGCUGAACGCGGAGGUGCCGUCCGUUCGGCACUAGAUCGUGGGACUGAUCGCGGGACGGUUCGCGGGGCGGAUCGAGGGACAUGAGGACGUUCCACUACAUCAACUGUGUUCACUAAUGCUUCUGCUGUGCGGUCUACAAGGGUACCUAGAUCGAACAUCCCCUCUCGUAGAUGGACAUCACCAUGAUAGGUCUUCGUGCGCGUAGGAAAUUUUUUGUUUCCCACGCGACGUUCCCCAACAGUGGCACCAUGAGCUAGGUUCAUGCGUAGAUGUCUUCUCGAGUAGAACACAAAAGUUUUUGUGGGCGGUGAUGUGCGUUUUGCUGCCCUCCUUAGUCUUUUCUUGAUUCCGCGGUAUUGUUGGAUUGAAGCGGCUUGGACCGACAUUACUCGUACGCUUACGAGAGACUGGUUUCAUCGUUACGAGUAACCCCCUUUGCUCAAAGAUGACUGGCAAGUGACGGUUUCUCCAACUUUAGUUGAAUCNNNNNNNNNNNNNNNNNNNNNNNNNNNNNNNNNNNNNNNNNNNNNNNNNNNNNNNNNNNNNNNNNNNNNNNNNNNNNNNNNNNNNNNNNNNNNNNNNNNNUGGGAUCUUGUAUUACGGAACGAGUAAAGAGACUUGCUGGUAAACGAGAUUGAAAUAGGUAUGCGGAUACUGACGAUUGAAUCUCGGGCAAGUAACGUACCGAAGGACAAAGGGAAUGACAUACGGGAUUAUACGAAUCCUUGGCACUGAGGUUCAAACGAUAAGACCUUCGUAGAAUAUGUAGGAUCCAAUAUGGGCAUCCAGGUCCCGCUGUUGGAUAUUGACCGAGGAGUCUCUCGGGUCAUGUCUACAUAGUUCUCGNNNNNNNNNNNNNNNNNNNNNNNNNNNNNNNNNNNNNNNNNNNNNNNNNNNNNNNNNNNNNNNNNNNNNNNNNNNNNNNNNNNNNNUGGGUCAUGUCUACAUAGUUCUCGAACCCGCAGGGUCUACACACUUAAGGUUCGACGUUGUUUUAUGCGUAUUAGAGUUAUAUGGUUGGUUACCGAAUGUUGUUCGGAGUCCCGGAUGAGAUCACGGACGUCACGAGGGUUUCCGGAAUGGUCCGGAAACGAAGAUUGAUAUAUAGGAUGACCUCAUUUGAUUACCGGAAGGUUUUCGGAGUAACCGGGAAUGUACCGGGAAUGACGAAUGGGUUCCGAAGUUCACCGGGGGGGCAACCCACCCCGGGGAAGCCCAUAGGCCUUGAGGGAGGCACACCAGCCCUUAGUGGGCUGGUGGGACAGCCCAAAAGAGCCCUAUGCGCCAUAGAGAUAAAAAUCAAAGAGAAAGAAAAAAAAAGGGAGGUGGGAAGGAAGGGAAGGACUCCCUCCCACCAAACCAAGUCCAACUCGGUUUCGGGGGGGAGUCUUCCCCCCUUGGACUCGGCCGACCCCCUUGGGGCUCCUUGAGCCCCAAGGCAAGGUCCCCUCCCUCCCACCUAUAUAUACGGAGGUUUUAGGGCUGAUUUGAGACGACUUUUCCACGGCAGCCCGACCACAUACCUCCACGGUUUUUCCUCUAGAUCGCGUUUCUGCGGANNNNNNNNNNGGCGGAGCCCUGCUGAGACAAGAUCAUCACCAACCUCCGGAGCGCCGUCACGCUGCCGGAGAACUCUUCUACCUCUCUGUCUCUCUUGCUGGACCAAGAAGGCCGAGAUCAUCGUCGAGCUGUACGUGUGCUGAACGCGGAGGUGCCGUCCGUUCGGUACUAGAUCGUGGGACUGAUCGCGGGAUUGUUCGCGGGGCGGAUCGAGGGACGUGAGGACGUUCCACUACAUCAANNNNNNNNNNNNNNNNNNNNNNNNNNNNNNNNNNNNNNNNNNNNNNNNNNNNNNNNNNNNNNNNNNNNNNNNNNNNNNNNNNNNNNNNNNNNNNNNNNNNCGGACCGUCGCCGUUGCACGUCGAACGACGCGGAACGCCGCCGCUCGCUCCGUCCACCGGUCGCCUCCCUCCGUCCUCGGAACCAGGCGCCGCCGCCGUCCUCCGAACCCGACCGAGGCCGGCGCCGGCCGGCGCCCACUCGACCCCCGAGAACCACGUCCAGGGUCGACCUCCGAGGCGCCACUUGGCCGCGGGCAGGCUGCGCUGGCUCCGGGCUCCGGGCGCGGGGGCGGGCGAGCGGCUGCUAGGCGGAGGACGAAGAGGAGGAGGAGGAAGACUUGACGAGGGCGGAGAGCCAGACGACGACGACGUUGAUGGAGAUGGUCACGUACGGCCUAGCGUCCACGGAGAAGUUGAAGCUGAAGUAGGACGCUCCCGGCGCCGAGGAAGAUGCCGCCAUCUCCAUGUCCAUGGUCUCUGUCUGUGGUAUGCCUGUCUCCUCUGCUCUUGCUGCCUUGGUGCUUCUUGCUUGCCUCUGGGAUGAGAGUUGUCGCUGGUCGCUGCGUGCUGGAUGCUAUUUGCAGAGCACGAAGGCUUGGCAUAUAUAGCUUGGUAGCCUCGCGAUAAGGCGCGAAACAAGUUGGAAGCGGGAUCGKACCCGUUGCGACUUGGGAAGAAGGAAAGCCGGGAGCGAAGAAGGUUCCCGGAAGCGGGGAGGCGUGGUGGAAACGCCGGACCAGACCGAGCGGUCGCCGGUUCGUGGCUUGUGAAAGUGAUGGAGCUGUCGUGCGCGCGCGCGCGGGGGUGUUUUUCAGCGGGUUUCGAGGGAGCUUCGCGGCGUGGAAACAUGCGCACCGGCGACCUGACCGUCCUGCUUUCUCGUGUUCUCGGUUGGGGUUGGCGUUGGAAUUCCACGCAGCCUCUCUCUCUCCUAUUUUAGUGGGCACGUCGCUCUCGUUUCGUCUGUGGUGCAGCCGCUCGUCUGCUACUCUUUCCGUUGUCGGGUUUCCUCCUGGUUGAUUUUCUUUUUGCGACUGAAUUCUGAUUUGAUUUUGAUAGAUAUAUGUGCGGUGGUGGACUGGUCGCAGGGAGCUGGGGGUGGUAUACGGCGACCGGUGUGAAGGAAGGUUGGUGAGUUGGCUGGCGAGCGCUUGACCAGAUUUCGUGGUGGACUCGACCAAACCAAACCAAACAGUGGCGUAGGUCUUUGCGCCAGCGGGCGUGAGGGAAUGCUUGCUCGUGCCCCCACCACCGGGUCGUCUCCGAUGACUGAGGUGUUUACACGCGACAGAGGUGCUAAUUAUGUGUGCUGCCGGCUGCAUAUAGAUCGAUAUACGCUAAAUGGAAACAUGACAACAAAACGUACGUUUGCCCGCACAAACCUUCCUGGACGGCAUGUUUGUCUCACGCUACUUUUCAUCCUUUGUUUUACAAAUUUGAAAUCUGAAGCUACAUUUCUUUUAAACACGAUAUAGAUGCAAGAGCUCAUAUAUAAGAGCAACUCUAGCAUACCCCGCAUCCCGUCGGCCCGUAAAACGCGUUUGCAGGUCGCGCAAAACAGCUUUUGCAGGCUGGCGUGGGCUGGCACAGAUGCGGACCCACCAAACGGAUCCGUAAAAAAAUAUAGUCGCGAAAUAUUCCUUUUUACGGGUCGGCUUUGCGGGAUCUGCUCUUUGCACCGCUGCUUCCCACGUAUCAUUAGCCCGCAAAUAUCAAAUACUCCCUCUGUAAGUUAAUAUAAGAGCAUUUAGACUACUAAAGUAGUGUUCUAAAUGCUCUUAUAUUAGUUUACGGGGACAUAAUUCAACAGCCGAAAACAAACUGAAUUAUUCGAAUCAAACACAAUACAAUAAUCAUCCGCAUUACAAACAAUUAUUCAAAACAUGUCAUGAAUACAAAUACAAAUGAAUACAAAAAUAAGUCACUGUCCAGCCAUUUGCCAAUGGUGUUCAAUGAGAUCUUUCUGAAGUUGAAAGUGGGUGUGUGGGUUUUCAAUCUCCUUGUCUGUCUGAAGAAAAGCUCUAAUGCGGUUUGGGUCUCUAGCUGGUUUAACACGGCUACCCACAUUGUCGUAAAAGAAUUCUAAGUUCCCAAGAUUCCUCGCAAGCUUGAACAAUUUUCACAAAGAGGGAUCGACGCAUUCCUUCUUUGAGUAAAUUACCGGCAAUUUUCCUCGCAAGCUUGAACAAUUUUCACAAAGAGGGAUCGGCGCAUUCGGUACCUUCUCCGGAAGAGGUGUGGAGGAUAUGUAGGAUGUUGGGGAACGUCGCAUGGAAAACAAAUUUUUUCCUACGCGCACAAAGACCUAUCAUGGUGAUGUCCAUCUACGAGGGGGAUUUCAGAUCUACGUACCCUUGUAGAUCGCACAGCAGAAGCGUUAAUAAACGCGGUUGAUGUAGUGGAACGUCCUCACGUCCCUCGAUCCGCCCCGCGAACCGUCCCACGAACCGUCCCGCGAUCUGUCCCACGAUCCGCUCCGAUCUAGUGCCGAACGGACGGCACCUCCGCGUUCAGCACACGUACAGCUCGACGAUGAUCUCGGCCUUCUUGAUCCAGCAAGAGAGACAGAGAGGUAGAUGAGUUCUCCGGCAGCAUGACGGCACUCCGAAGGUUUGUGGUGAUCUAAUCUCAGCAGGGCUCCGCGCGAGCUCCGCAGAAACGCGAUCUAGAGGAAAAACCGUGGAGGUAUGUGGUCGGACUGCCGUGGAAAAGUUAUCCCAAAUCAGCCCUAAAACCGCCGUAUAUAUAGGUGGGAGGGGAGGGGCCUUGCCUUGGGGCUCAAGGAGCCCCAAGGGGUUCGGCCGAAGGGGGGAGGAGGAGUCCUCCUCCAAUCCUAGUCCAACUAGGAUUGGAAGGUGGAGUCCUUCCCUUCCUUCCCACUUCCACUUUUUUCUCUUUGAUUUUCUUAUCUCCCUGCGCAGGGGCCUCUCUGGGCUUGCCCACCAACCCACUAAGGGCCGGUGCGGCACCACUAAGGCCUAUGGUCUUCCCCGGGGUGGGCUCGNNNNNNNNNNNNNNNNNNNNNNNNNNNNNNNNNNNNNNNNNNNNNNNNNNNNNNNNNNNNNNNNNNNNNNNNNNNNNNNNNNNNNNNNNNNNNNNNNNNNCUAAAAAAAGGGUUACUUUUAGUUUUGUAAAACAAAUUUUUAGGUAAUGUUACCUUUUCUAUAAUUUUUACUGAAAUUACUAAAACAAUAAUUACAGUUUUUCUAAAAAAAAUAGUUUUGAAAUUUUGAAAAAAUUAGGUUUAACUUUUUCAUUUUUUUAAGGUAGUUUUAMAAAWARUUACCAAAUUWCARWAAHAAUUUAAAAAAAAUAAAAAAAAUAAAAACAAAGAACAAAAAGGGUAAAAGGGAAAGAAAAUAAAAGAAAGAAAAAAACAAACAAAAAAUCUAAAAAAGAUAAAAUACCAAAAACGUAGAAGAAACAGGAGGAACCUUCUAGGAGAAAAAACGACUGAGAAACUAUAGAAGGUUCCCCAAACCGGAAUGGUGCAACUUGUUAAUAGUCGGCCCAGGUGAUUACCAUAAAAUGGACACAAUUUUAAUUGUAGAUGUAACUAAUUCACAAAAUGAAUCGUGCAUGAAAAUUCACAUGCAUAUCUUCUUUGUGUGGCGCCCGGUUGUACAUCGUGUAGCAUUUGAUCUACAGGCGCUACACCUCUGAUAAGCGUGGCAUCCGAGGUUAUAAUUCUGAUUGUAUGAUGUUUAAAUGAAAGGAGUCACUCUACAUUAUAUGACACCCGCUGAAAGAAGCCACAUUAUUUUAUAUUAAAAUUGAUGUAACUUUUAAUCCUUGCAUCCGAUGAAAAUAUGUUUUAUAUGAAUAUUGUGUAUUUUUCUGUGUUCUACGCAAUGGUGUCAUUUCCAUCGAUGUUAAGAUCAAUUUUCUUGAUGAAAUCUCUGUUGCAAAAAUGCGUCAUAAUAUAAUUGAUCGGAUUUGUUAAGACUUACAAAGUUGACAUGAUGGUAGCCACUGACUUAUAGCUUUUAUGCAUUUGCAUUCUACAUGAGUUUUACCCUAUAUAAUGUGUAUGUUCACGUCAUGUUCAUGCUUGUCAUGUUAGUCAUCUUUAAUAUGUUCAUGUCUUGCAUCUAAGUGACUAACAUGAUAUAUUUUUUGUAAACAAUCUUAUGAAGCUUUAUUUAACUGAAAUCAAUGUUUACAGAAAUAAAUGCAGGAUCAUCGGGUUGCUUAACCACACAUGGUCGCCAACCCCUAGUCUGGUAACAUGCUUCGUUAUGGAUGGGCCAGUUCCAAACACAGUAGGCCCACUUCCACCUCGUAGCCGGGCUUAGUCAGGUCAGUCGUCCAUUGUAGGAUUUUCUUCCACCUGGUCUUCGCACCUCUGAGACGGGGAGAUGCGGAGGCCGUCGGCUUCGUCGCCUCCGGCGAGGGGACCGGCGUUGGCUGCAGCAGCCGCUGUCGUUCUCCUCCCGGCUAUUUUCCCCGCGCUGUUCUCCCCGCUCGGCCGCGCCUUCCCUUCCCUAUUCUCGGUGCGUCCCCUAUAGUCGCCAUCCUCCUCUCCAGGCGGCUCGAUUUGAGCCGGUGUAGCGUCAUAUUGGCGAUCUUCCGCUUCUCUAGCUGCUUCCUACGCCUCUCCUUGCUAGUUCGCCACUUUGCCGAGUCCGAUUGUUUGGGGUGGGCGAAAAUUGGAUAUAAUCUAGAGGGAUUGGUACUUUUGGGGGGAGGAAUGUAUGUGGAAGGUGAAAUGAUGUGGUGAAUUCGUGGCUUUGUCCCCUCUUGAAUUGGAACUAGUACGAAAUUACAUUUGUUUAUUUGGUGUAUAUGUAUGUCGAUGCAGAGUAACCUGUAAAUAAGCAAAGUGUGCAACCUGUAAAUAAGCGAAGUUUGCAAGAUCUGGAUUCUUUUGAUGGACAGCAUCAUGCCAGUUGCAUCGGAUAUUUUGGUUUGGACAGUGGUCUCCAAUGUGUGAUUACGAGUAGAUUUUUUUGUAUGCAUUUCGGGGCAGUGUGGGACGCUGGGACUGUACUCGGCUACCAUGAGCCAUGACAGUAUUGGGAAUAACAUGUGUACUGGAUUACUCUACUAUGGCUGUGAAGAUAGAUUGGCUACUGAUGUGGACCUUAGUAAAUAUUUCUGCAGACUGCAAUAUUGUCUUUUUAAGAUUAAUCAUGUGGACAGCGUGUAUACUGCAGGAGUGGAAUGCCCCUAAGCCAAUGCACGAGUCUCUUUUCAAUGAGUCUUUGCGAUGGACAAUAGUGAGUAUUCACAACUCAGAUAAAUACUGGAAAUAGUUAUGUUGAAGUCUAUUUGUAACUUACUCUCUGUACAGCCAGAUGAACAAAAAAGAGAUCUCUGGACACCCUUGCCUGAUCAGGGGUGGAAACCAUGCAUAAGGUCAUCGAUCACUCGUGGUAACAUUCUGUGAUAAAUCUGUUUAGGUAAUGAUAUGCCUCCCGCUGCGAUAGAUCACUAAGCAUUUGGUUAUAUGAAGUGUAGGGUUACCUUCACAACCCAGUGGGUACAUACAAGUAUUUCUUGAUGGUGGCCUGAACCAGCAGAGAAUGGGGGUAACUCACUUCUUAUGUACCAAACUCAUGAUGUUAGAUUUAAUAUAACUUGCUUGGUUGAAACUUCAGAUCAUCUGGCUCUUUCUUUUUGUUCUCUAGAUAUGUGAUGCAGUUGCGGUUGCUAAGAUUUUGAACGCUACUCUUGUGAUCCCACAUCUUGAAGUAAACCCUGUUUGGAAAGACUCAAGGUGCUUUUGGAGUUUCAGAGUACUACUGUAUCUUGUUAAUUUUAAAUACUCCUGUUAGAUUGGAAGUGAAAGGUUUAGUUUGGUCUGCAGCUCAUUUGGAGAUAUUUUUAAUGUGGAUCACUUCAUCAACACCCUAAGAGGCGAUGUUUCAAUAGUGAGAGCUCCAUUAAAAGAAUUUUCGUGGAGCACAAGAGAGUUCUAUAGCACAGGAAUACGUGCUACAAGAAUAAAAACUGCACCUCUUCAUGCCUCGGCUAAUUGGUAUAUAGAGAAUGUCAGUCCUAUCCUGCAAAGGUUUGUGAUUUUCUUGGCCAUAUAGUCGCUUCUCUAGACCCCUUGAGUAAGUGGCAUAAUAAUGCUAAGAAACUGCAGUUCAUGUUUAGCCCAGGUUGAUGGCCACUGAACUGGCUUUAUAGUAUUAACAUGACAACUCGUUGUCUAACUUCAUUAGUUGGUUACUCUGUGAGGGGAAUCCUUCACCGAAAAUCUCAUGCAAGCGUUGUUUCCCUUGUCAGCUAUGGCAUUGCUGCCAUUGCCCCCUUUUCUCACCGCCUUGCAUUCGAUGAUUUGCCUGUGGAUAUUCAACGCCUGCGCUGUAAAGUUAACUUUGAAGCCCUGGUUUUUGUGCCUUACAUUAUAUCACUGGGGAGGACCCUUGAGAAGCGCUUGAGAUCUCCAGUGCAGGGGCAUUCCACUGAAUUAACCCAACAAGUUGUAGAAGAUUACACAGAUCAGUCUGAAAAGUAUGCAGUUGUACAUCUCCGCUUCGAUAAGGUAAAUGGAAGGGCUUCUGCUAUAUUUGGAAGUCGUACGUGUAUAUUUUUGUUAUCUUCAAGGAAUUUCCACUCUGAAACAACUCAAGCUGACCUACAUUUUUCAGGAUAUGGCUGCACAUUCUGCCUGUGACUUUGGCGGUGGUAGAGCUGAAAAAUUAGCUCUGGCUAAGUACAGGCAAGUUAUCUGGCAAGGGAGGGUAUUAAAUUCACAGUUAAGUGAUGAGGAGCUUCGAAACACAGGACGCUGCCCGUUGACUCCAGAAGAGAUUGGAUUGAUACUAGUAGCGCUUGGCUUUGACAGCAAAACUCGAUUUUAUCUUGCCUCUCACAAGGUUUGACUCUCUGCCUCUGCCGGUGCGCUUACUUAUUCUCCGUAGUGGAAGCAGAAAUUUCUAACAUACGUCACCUAUUAAGGUAUAUGGAGGGGAAGCUAGGAUCUCUAGCUUGCGCAAGCUUUUCCCGCUGAUGGUAGACAAGAGGAGCCUUGCAUCGGCAGAUGAGCUUGCUAGUAUCGAAGGGAAGGCUUCUGUGCUAGCAGCUCUUGACUACCAUAUCAGCAUGCACAGCGAUGUUUUCAUCUCUGCUUCUCCUGGCAAUAUGCAUAAUGCACUGGUAAAUCCUGUUUGGCUUCAGCUGUAUUCGCUAGAUUUCUCCUCUUUCUUUAUUGGUCCUGACCAGAUGAUGGUUGAUUCAGCUGGCCCACCGGACCUAUAGGAAUCUGAAGACGAUAAGGCCAAACAUGACAUUGCUUGGCCACAUAUUUGUGAACAAGAGCAUGGAGUGGUCAGAGUUUCAGCAGGCUGUGCAGGCAGGCCACAAAGGUAGAUACGGGCAGAUCCGGCUGAGGAAGCCGAAGCAGUCUAUCUAUACUUAUCCUGCCCCAGAUUGUAUGUGCCCAGGGUAGAUCGCCAAGUUUUCUGCGGUGCACCGACAAAAGAAAUGUGCUGAGUUACUUGCAGUUUCUAAUUAGGUUAAGCUCAUGUGGAUAUGUAUAUUUAGUUCUGAAUUUUCGGUUGAAUCAGUUUGCUGCCACUUCCAAUAGGAUCUUAAAAUUUUAACCAAAAUUUACGCACUAUACGUUGAGCCUUGAAGGACUCUAAUCUUGUGCUGUUUGCACGAUCCAUACGACGAAGUUGUAGUUUUGGAGCUGAUGUUGUGUAUCUGUGACCUGACUUGAUAUACUGGAUCCUUUUUCUUCUUUUAUUCCGCUGUUCUACUUCUGGGAGUCCGGUGUUCUGAAUUUCUGCUUUGAUUUAGUAUUACUAUCGUCAUGGCGAAUUCGAUACUAAUGCUUCAAACUAGUAGUAUGUUUUGCCAUGUUUUAAAAUAACACGCAUGGGUGAUAUUACAAGUACAGCCUCCGUCGGAAGCCAUGGGCGAAUCCACAAGGACAAAGUUUCACCACCGGAACUUUAAGAUUACAACACGUUUUUGCACUGCCACCUACUCCUCCACACUUUGUACAUCCUCAGCACCCCAAAAUAAUAAUUCAGACCACCUGAAACCUCCUUGGUCGGUGAAAUCGACGGAUUUAUUGGCCGGAGAUGGUCUGGAUGAUGGUGUUGUGCCAUGGGUCGGCCAGGUGCUGCUGCAGGUUCUCGAACGGCCCCUUCCCGGUCACGUUGUGCUGCACCAGGAACCCCAGGAACGCCAGCAUGGCCAGUCUCCCUGAACGAAUGAACGCGCGCGCGAAUACAGAUUAACGAGAGCCGUCGGAUUAGAAACCCGAGGGUUCAGAUGAGACUGAAGAGAGGAUGGACGUACCGUUGGCGAGCUCCUUCUCCUUGUUCUCGAGGGUGGGGGCGAAGUUGAGGGGGUUGAAGACGCUGCCGGGGUAGCCGCACUCGUGGGGCGGGAGGCUGUAGCUCUUGAAGAUGGGGUCCUGGUUGACGGAGCCCGGGUUCUUGAUGUCCUGCCACCGCCGGAUCUCGACGUAGUGGAAGAGGAUGAACUCGAUGACGAAGAGCGUGGAGGAGGAGGCGAAGUAGGUCUCCUUGCCGGCGUCGUACCACUCGGGCGCGUUCAGCAGCCCCGCCUUGGUCAGCACCUCCGGGAUCAGCAUCCCCGCCACCCCCAGCAUCGCCCACCGCCCGUUCACCAGCUCCGCCUGCACGAACCACCGCAGGUCCUCCGGGUCCUCCGCCAGCGCCAGCGGGUCAAAACCAUUGUCACCCGCCAGACUGCACACGUAUCGUCCGUCAGUACGGUCGUAAACAUAUGUAACAGCUGCGUGCAUGGGCACGACGGAAGUGGUGUGGCGUGUCGUGUGGUCUGCUCACCUGCCGUCGAGGUAGGCAGGGGACUGGAGGCCGGGGAGCCAGGACCCCUUGGCCUGGACGGCGACGUCGCGGCGGGUGGACUUGGCGAGCCCGACGCGGCCGGAGUCGCCCAGGAACCGGGGGCUCGACGCUGACGCCGCCGGCCGGAGAGCGGCCACGGGAGCGCGGGCACUGACCGACGACAUCUUCUGCUACUCCUGACUAGAGAGCGCGUACGGCAGGAGAGUGAGAGUGCGCGCGUGUGUGUGUGGUGGUUCUGCCUCUCCGCACCUGCGCUUGGCCCUUUGUAUUGGGCUGCGCUUCGGUGAUUUGUGGGUGUGGUGAGCUGGGCCCCGGAGGUCGAGAUGGACGGCGUGUGUUGGCGCCACCGCGUCGUCCGACGGCUGCGAUGCGUUUGCGCCUG